CAUGGCAGCAACCCUUAUAGCCUAAAAUAAAAUUCAAAAGAUUGAAACUUUGGACCAAAAAUAACAAAAACAUAAUAUAAGAUGAGUACUCAAAUCACGACAAUGUUAUCAGUAUGAAAAAGGACGAGAAUUACAAUCCUCAAUAAGAU